UUCCUUCAUAGGGCUGUGACGAUCACCUUGAACAUCCAGAAGGAACAUGGAAAGCUUUUCAAGGACUUCAACAAGGGACUUGUUAAUAACAAGGAAAUCGAAGAACUCAAAGCAGAUGUCGAGAAAUUUGCCUCCUCUUUCGACAUGCCUGGAUUCAAAAUGUCUGAAAUGAAGUACAAGGACUAAACUCACUCUUCGCGCUACGUCUACUCAUGCCUUUUUUUUUUAGUUUUUGUUCAUCUUGUUUGAUUGUUAAAAUUCAUGUUCUAAGAUGAAAAAGAAUAAGUAUUCAUGCCUUGUUACUCUGUACUUUGUAAUUUUAGGUUAGUGAUUGAAUCUUGUCUUGAAAGAAG
rnacentral:misc_RNA from 1 species